UACUGAGUGCCAUCUGAAUGGAGGAACCACAAAUCUGUUUUUUCGGUGUGCUCAGCUGGUGCAGUCAGGAAAUGUACCACUAGGGAGCAGCCUGGAUGCCUCACUGGUGCUUCUGCAGAGUAGACAGACCGAGUUGCUAGCUUUAACAAGUGUGUGUAUUUUGCUUUAGUAAUUAAACUUGUCCUGACAUGUCAGAAGGACUUCUGAGAGGCUUGUUUUUGUUUUCUUCGGAAGUGUAAUAUAUAAGCGAAACAUAAAACACAUUAAAAAGAAUAACCAGAGAGCCUGCUUCCCCACAGUGCCAUGUUUUGAGCAACAAUCUACAUUGAUGCAAUGUGGAUUUAAUUUUCAGGACCUUAAAGCAACUAGAUAUGAUGUGAUUGCAACAUUUAAGAGUGGGAUAGGUUCCUGACCUCCAGUGACUCAUAGCAGCCAGACAGUGGCUGCACAGAGGUAAGAAAUGCUGGCAAUUAAACCUCCUCUCUGUAUAUGAUCAGAGUGUUGGAAAAGGUGCAAACAAAACAAAGGACAUGAAACCCCCCAUACCUUCUGGGCUUCUAAAUCAGUCAUGGAGAGACAGUCACAAAUGGCAGAUUAAAGUAAAUGAACAACAACAACAAAGGUAACCUGACCUUUCAAACAAAACCUUCCUAACAUGCAAGGACUCAGGCUGAGUCAGGAAAUAAGCUUGGUGCAGUCCAAAUGUAUCCUUUAUAGCCCUGCCUGUCUUCUUUAAUUAUUGCAGUGUCAGUUCAAUGGUUCUGUGAAUUUUUAAAAAAAUAAUAUAUAUAUUUUUUUUUUCUUCUUUAAUAUUUCCCAAGUUAACUGGCAUAUCUUCUUCCUCGGCCUCAGCAGAGAAAAACAUACUGAAGACUUCAUGCAUGAAGUGUGAGACAUUUUGACGCUUUGAUCUGACUGCUGUACAGACAACUGGUUAGAGCAGAAGUAUAACCUCCUGAG
rnacentral:lncRNA from 1 species